UAAAAGGAGUACAAUAAAAAGGAAUAAGAGUUAAUUAUUAAUAUUGUGUAUCAUAAUUUAAUGAAAACGGCGGAAGGUGCGGUGGUAUUAUCUCACUUGGCGCACUAUGAAGAUGGUAGAAUUUAAUUUGGAUUCAUUUUAUUUAGCAUAUUGCCAUUUAUAACCUUCAAUUAAAAAAACAUUGUAUUAAAAAUUGAAGUUAGUGACGAAAACGAAUCGCUGCAAAACCGACUCCACGUAGUCUUGUCUGCCCUACCCCUAGAGUGCAAUUCAAAACCGCGUAGGCGCGGAGGGGCGAGGCGGCCUGCGAGCUGAGGCGCAGGUAGUUUUAACGCUCGCCGCCGCGGCUGAGGCUUGCCGGCCCUGCCGGCCAGCAAGCCGAAGCUGCGGUGGUGAGCGUGAAAACCAUCUGCGACUAUAAGCUCGCAUGGGACCGCCGGAGCCCCGCAGCGCCGGAGCCGUGACAGAAGUCAUGCUUGCUGCAUGUUGCAUGCUUACUUCCAUGCUAUUCACCUAUAAUUUUGAAAAUAACAGCCGCAAAAUAUUUUUUCUUCAUGCCAUUUUAGACUUUAUUUAAAGCUAUUAAAAAGUCGCACAAUAUAUUUAUAAUAUGAGCUAGUUCUUAAACUUUUAUUGAAUUAUUAAUGUACACACUAUACAUAUAUACAAACUUAAGCUACUUAUCUUUAUACAAAACUAAAAAUAAAAUACUAUAUACAAAAUGUAUAUAAACAUAAAACAUAAUAUAAAAGAGCAUCGAUCAGGCGUCGAAGUAUUCCUCCGCAUCACUGUCCUCCGGAAACGUGCCCAGAAGACUGGCUGCAUUGCCAAGUUGAAUGGCAAUGCUAAUUCUUUGCCCAAAGAAUAAGCCAGCCCUCUGGUCACGCGAAGCGUCGACAAGCCUUUUCGCGAUGUCCUUGUAAAGUAACCGCGAACUCGGGCCCCACGGUCCGAGCGUUUCGACCCCAAACGGCUCAAAACUAUAAUUUCCAAUAAGGUUAUUAUAUUUGCGCCGCUUGGUGGUCUCUGCAGAAGCUGCAGCCGCCCCAGCACAGACUGCCGUGCUAGGAAGAUGUGAUGGCGCCAGGGUGUCGACGCAUGUUGCGUCCCACACCAAGGGCCUACCCAUCUUCCAUGGCAACAACGUCAUACCAUCUGGCCUCUUUCCAUCGUCACGUACCAGUCCAUUAGGCUCUAAAACGGCUGGUACGCCGGCGGUGGAAAGAGCACGACGGAUAAUGUCGUUAAUGCUGGCAUGCCGUGCAAUACGACCAGCACUUCUGCAGCACGACAGACCAUGGUGCCCGAGGCUGUCGACAGCUUCACCGCAAUGGCAGCGAUGCGGAGCAACACAGGGAGCGCCUAAUCGAAGGCAUGUAGCUAUCCGGAAGGUGUUGUCAUCCAGCAUAGUGCCUAUGCUGGUUGACGGAAUAACCUGCAACCAUAGUCCAGAUUCCCAUACUCCCACAGCCAGCAGGCGAGCACGCUCGGCAGCACCAUUACACGUAUUAAGAAGAUCAUUCCGUGUGAUGCUGCAGAGCGGCCCAUCCCACUGUCUCUGAGAGGAGGGGUCACUGGGCAUAACCGUAUUUGGGCAAGUCAUUUUCCAAGCAUUCAACGCAUCGGCCAAACACGGCACCCCAAAGUCCACCAGUGAGGAAGAUAGAAUUUUCCUAGUGAGACUUGCGGUGCUGUGGACCGAGGAGAGGAAUGCAAACUGAGACUGGAAAUUUUGCGGACGCCGAGGCCUCCCAAGCGAAUAGGCAGUGAGGCCUGUUGCCAGGCUCGGUCGUCCAGGGCCACAUUUAAUAUUAGAGAAAGGGUGUUCCUGAUAAUUUUGUCAACUUUAUCUAAUAGGUUCGGAUGUUUCCACAAAUGAGAAGAGCGAAGGAUAUAAGUAAAUUUUGGUCCGAAACAACAAUAUCGGAUAAGGGUAUAUGCCGAAUGUACAUUAAUUUUAAGUAACCUGUCCGAAAUGUCAUUGAAGUUUUGAAUUUUUUCCUCUAUAAAAGAGGAAAAAGAGCUAGUUUAUAUUUAUUCUUCAUCCAAACAAUUUUAAAUAGAACCUGAUUUGUAUUAUUUAUGAAUGCCCAUUUUCUAUUUUAUUGUCAUCAUUAAGUUUUCGCUUAGAUAUUAAUUCAGUCGCCAAAAGAAAAACUUGAUGCUAGUUUAAAUUAAAACGGACCUCAUAACUGAUAUAUUAAUAUGCUACCUUUGACUUAUUAUGAUACUCCUUUUUAGCUGCCAACCCAUUAUAAAUGGUACCCACUCUAUUAUUUUUUAAAACCUAUAUUCGUUUUACUUAGUCGCCGCGUUAAAUACAUGCCAAAAUAAAUCUGAAUUUUUGGGUCAGUUCUAAUGAAAGCUAAACGCAUGUCGGCCGUUGUGUAGGUAAGCAAAUGCAAAUAAAGAAAAACUUGCCUAUUAGAUGUAUGUAGUUUCUAAAUGCGCGAGCGAAGCGAGCGCGAAAUUUUUAUCGGACUUAAAACAAAAAUUACGUAAAAUUUUGCCCAAAUGUACUUAACGUUUUGUUUGUUGAGAAAUGCAAAAAUAAGGGCAUACAGUUUCUGAAUACGCGAGCGAAGCGAGCGCGAAAUUUUAAUUAUUUUUUAAGACUCAAAACCAAAAUUACGUAAAAUGUAGCCCGAACAUACAUUUUCUUAAAUAGGGGGACUAGGUACGACACACCCAAUAUACGUCCAUGCGAAUACCCCCGCUCGCAAUUAUAUAUAAGUCGAUAAAAAUUAUAAGUUAGAUAAGGUAUAGCAACGUCGUGAAGCUAAGCUUCACGGACCACUUGCACUCCAGGGACCACCAGUGGUCCGCGGACCACCGGUUAAGAACCACUGCCUUAGUACAUUUAAUAGUUAUAUUAUUGAAAAUACGAAAGCAAAAGCAAGAAAAAACUAUUUAUUUUCUUAACAUAAACAGACGUAACAUGCAAGCAUCGGUCGUUGCAAACGCACUGCGCUCGGAUCUUUCGAACUCGCACACGAAAACAGCUGAACGCGACCCGAACCCGAUCGCGUGUGCCAGUGUUGAGGUAUUUUCAUUAUUAUUGAGAGUUAAAAAAUAAAUUUAAUAACCAACAAAAGAAAUUAUAACAGUUCAUGCAAGUUGUAAAAAUAUGAUUAUUUUGUCAAAACCUCUGUUGUCGGUAACUUAGUAAUUUUGUCGGAAGUUCAGUAUUUAGUCGGAACUUUAGUUUUAUUACUCGAAGAUCGAAUUUUCUUUAGGAGAAAAAGUUAUUCGAACCUGCUCAUUUUUGUAUUUAAAAUUGAUAUUUUUUGUCGUUUAUGUUUUCGAUUUUUUGUCGGUAAUUCAUUAUAACGCUGGUAAAUUAGAAUAAUAGUCGGCCACAGAUCGCUGGAGAUUAAUUUGUUUUUCGGAACCAUUAUUAUUAUACAAAA